GUCGCACUUUUUGGCGACGUGCUCGCGAUGGGCACGAUAAACGAAGACACAGACGGCGGUCUGGUUGGAAAAGUCGCUAGAAAUGUCAGUUAGCAAGUGGAAAUCACCGGAAAAACUACGCAACGCGGCAGAAACCAAAGCGAUUAGCGGCAAACAGCGCAGCAAACGCUAACGCACAACAGCAGAGCAGCGCGUAGGGCAGCAGGUCGGUCGGUGGCUGCAGUGUGUUAGAGAAGUAAAAGAAUGCGUGAAUGCGAAACGCGAAAGCAAGAGCAGCGACGGCGGCGAAUGCUGAUAACAAAGCGUACGGCGUGUUAAUAACAAUAACAAAAAGUCGCGCGUUUAAUUAACAGACAGCGGCCAGCAGCGGCAGCGCAGUCGACGCUACUACCAUCGCGUGUGGGAGUUUAAUAGCUGAGAGAGUGUGAGAGAGAGUGACAAAGUGGAAGGAGCGCGAGUCGAACUGAUAAAAACUGCAUUUGAUUGCAAUUUUGGCGGCAUUUGCAAACCGAACGGCGGCGAACGCGCAACGCAAAAAGAAAUCAAUAAAAAACAAAACAACGAAACGGCGCACAAAAUGGAUUAAAAUAAAAACAAUAAUCGAAUAAAAAACACACACUUUCAGCAAGCCUCAUAAAUCUUCACUCGAUGUUUUACGCAUAAUUUAAUAAUUAAGAAGCAAUUGCAACCGUUCCGUUCCGUUUUGUGCUAAUGCAAAAAGUAUACGACCUACACAUAAAUCUUUUAACUUCACUAAAGUGCAAUAACUAUAAUAUAAAAAGCCUAUCGAAUAAACAAAAAUCUAUCUACAAAUAGUUGCAAUUUAUACGAAAACUGACUUGGCAAGCCGUUAAGCUACCACUGCAAGCAGGCAGGCACAGCG